rnacentral:rRNA from 1 species
UACAGAGGUCUCAAGCGUUGUUCGGAUUCAUUGGGCGUAAAGGGUGCGUAGGCGGCGCGGUAAGUCGGGUGUGAAAUCUCGGAGCUUAACUCCGAAACUGCAUUCGAUACUGCCGUGCCUGAGGACUGGAGAGGAGACUGGAAUUCAUGGUGUAGCAGUGAAAUGCGUAGAGAUCAUGAGGAAGACCAGUGGCGAAGGCGGGUCUCUGGACAGUUCCUGACACUGAGACACGAAGGCCAGGGGAGCAAACGGG